UACAGAGGGGGCGAGCGUUGUUCGGAAUUACUGGGCGUAAAGGGCGCGUAGGCGGUCCGGUAAGUCCGCUGUGGAAAGUCGGGGGGCUCAACCCUCGAAUGCCGGUGGAUACUGUCGGGCUAGAGUGCGGAAGAGGCGAGUGGAAUUCCUGGUGUAGCGGUGAAAUGCGCAGAUAUCAGGAGGAACACCAAUUGCGAAGGCAGCUCGCUGGGACGUAACUGACGCUGAGACGCGAAAGCGUGGGGAGCGAACAGG
rnacentral:rRNA from 1 species